GUUGAAUUUGGGUCCAUUUGACAUAUUUAUAUUUGUAUUAAAAUAAAGUGACGAAAAUAAGUAAAAAAAAUAAAAUGAAAGUGUUCUCUUUCCUAGCUAAGCAAUCCAAAUAAGAAGCAACUCUCAACAACCUCUCAUCUCAAAAACCCUUUUCAAAAACUCACCUACACGCACAAAAGGCCUCCCUCUCUUACAAAAAAAAACACUUCAAAAACAGCCCUCUCAAAGACUUUCCAUAUAAACUUAUCUUCAUCUUCUAUGUAUGUACUAGCACUAACAUUAACUAACUUAUCAUAUUACUCCUUAAAAUAUUUUAGUUUCAUCUUUUAAUUAAUGCCAUACUAACAUUUACAUAACAUUUUAUUCAAUCUAACAACUAUCUCUACUCUUAACUCUCUAGCAAAAAUUAGAAGUCUUUAUUCUUAACAAAUCAUAUACAUGCCUUGUCUUUAUAAUCUUAUGCAAUAAUAAGAUCAUUAUUUGGGUUUAAAGUUGUUAUUUAGUUGAGUAAAUAAAAAAGAUUAUGCAGAUCGUUUGCUUAGUAUAUCCAUUGUUGUGAACAUAUGUUGCAACUGGUGAAAUUGAAAUUCUUAUACACACAUGAUUGACAGUAUUAGAAAGCAUUAUAAGGUUAGCAGCUCAAUCACCUUAAAAGGGAAUUUUUAAUCGGUUUGGUUUCUAGGUCACCCCAGUACCUAGGUCACUUCACCAUCAUCAAAAUCUAAGAGGCAAUGGCGCAAAAUCAGAUAUGAAUUUAAUCAAUCCGUCAAAUUAAAAACAGGGGGAAUGAUUUACCUUCUUUUGCAGUUUGAAUCAGUGACGACAAAAGCGAGUAAAGAACUCGGAUCGGUGACGACAACAUCCAGCGACGAGAUGGACGGCCUUGAUGCAAGAGGCGGCGAUGGUGACUUGGAGAUCAUCAACCACCGAGAGCAACCAGCUGUUGGCGGCAGCUUCAGCUCAGGAGGUAGAGACUCUGUUGAUCUGACAUGAUAGUAGCCGACAACAACUAAAAAUGGUGACACUAGAUCGAGGGAUUUGAUAGGCGGCGAGUCUUCAUUUUUUUAAUUCUAGGGUUUAGUUAUAGUUUAUGGAAAAUUAAUAGAGAGGAGAUGAAGAGGAGAAGGAGGAGAAGAAGAGAGAAAGAAAAGGAGAAGAGAAGGAGGAGCGACGAUGGCGGCGCCAUCGCUGAAGAGAAAACGGAGAAAAUAAGAAGGGCAGAAAAAGAAGAAGGGGAGAAAAAGAAGAGAGGAGAAGGAUAAUGAGAAGAGAGGAGAAGAAGAGAGAAAAAAGGGGAGGAGCGGUGGCGACGCUGCUGCCGCAGCCGGAAAAAAGAGAAGAGGAGACGUAGAGAGGGAGAGAAGAAAGAGGGAGGAGAAAAGGAAGAGAGAAUUGAAGGAGAAAGUUUAGAGGAGAGAGAGAGAGAGAGAGUGAAAAAUGAGUAAAAAAUGUUUUAAAUGGUUUUUAUACGAUCC
rnacentral:lncRNA from 1 species